rnacentral:lncRNA from 1 species
GUCCCAUAAAAACUAUCUCUAUCUUUUCUAUUUCUCUCUUCACAAUUUCUACUCAAACAAGUACACCCUGAAAGUUAUGCAUUUCAUUUAAACAAUAAAACCUUAUUUAGAUUUUAACAAGGAAAAUACAUCUCAUACCAUUUAUUAAUUCAUGUUACAUUUGAAAUAUGAAUAAUCUUUUGGUAUCAAUCAAAAGGUCCACAAAUGCUGUUGUAAAAUACACCACUUCUAAAAAUAAAAAAAAUAGUGACUAAAAUUUAGAGAUAAGAGAAUGUGAAAUCCGUUUCUAAUUAAGUUGCGAAUUUAGAGACAAGAGAAUGUGUUAAGGCAUCAACAUUGGUGGCCAAUUUGAUCUUAUUUUUGAAUCUCUAAUGUUGCUAUGAAUCCUACAAAGAUCUUUUAGAUAUCCACCUAUUAAACAUGGCGAAACUCUCUUCAGGAAGGUAUUCAGGUGCCGUGUGUCCUCCACCCUGUCAAUGGAAUUGGAUAAACAUGGCAAAACAUUAGACCUAGGAAUCUGUAUUUGAGUUGUAGAAAUUGAAGAACAUGAAACUUACCUUCACAGUUGCAAAUGUCAUCCUAUUCGAAUAAGUUCUUGUGUAUCUAUCCAUGUAGAAAAUUAAAACAAAGAAUAUGAUAUUUAAGGUAAUACAUUUUUUAGAGAUUGAAAAUUGGAAAUUUUGAUUAACCCUCUAAAUAAGUGGUUUAUUAUUUGCUUAUCAAUUAAAAAAUUAUUAUUACUAGUGAAAUAUUUAAGGUUCUAGUAGUUUUGGAGAAAAGGGUACAAUCUAGAUGAAAAAAGGGUGUCAACAAGAAUAUGUCAAAGUUUAAUCUUAACCCAAGGCCAAAAAAAAUUAAGGAGGAUGAAAUAAAGAAAAAUAAUCAAUUAUAUGCCUCAUACAUUUCAAAUUUUAAAUGAAAUUAGAUUGUAUCUUUGCCUCAAAGCAAAGCCAGACAAAACAUUAAUGGAGAAAGCAUUAAAUUCUCAAAAUCAUCGUCAAAUAAUCGAGUAGGCCUCAAAUAUAAUCGAUUAGAAGACAUGUUUUGGAAAUUUUUGAUUAUGAUAUUUUUUAGGUUAAAUCUUCAAGGAUUUUUUGGAAGUUUUUACACGUCCAAACUGUCAUACCCCAAAAAUUUCCCUCCCAUUUUCAUCUUUUCAUUCAAUCCUUGACUUAAGAAUCAUCUGUAUACAUUCAUGCCUCAAUCAUAUGCACCAUUCAUCCAAUAAGUUGGUCACUAUAUAUUCAAAGCUCUUGGCUUGUAAACUAGGGUUUGUGUGUGUGUGUUAAUUUUCAAAGGCAUGGAAUUGACUAUUGAUUUGGGCAUAUGGGAUGUAAAAUCCUAAUUGCAUGGUCUAUUGAAGCAUGGAUUCAACAAUAUUUCAUCAUGGCACUCCUCGGGGAUUUCAAACCAUGGUUUCUUGAUGAUAUGGAUAUGAGACCUUAUGAUUGUUCUCCGGGCCUUAUCUUGGUUGUCAAAACCCUAAUUGAGGCUUAUAUAUUGGAGACUUGCUUGUAAAGCAUCUUGAUUCAUUCAAAGGCUUUGUUUGAGGGGUAUGCCUAAUUGAAACCCUAAUUAGGGAUAAUUGGUAUUCAGGUGUCUUGUUUGGUUGACUUUUUGACUUGGGAUUCAUCAAAACCCUAGUUGAUAGAUACUUAAGGUCUUAAAGAUUUCAUCUUGGUCCCAUUUCACACCAAACCUUAAUCCUUGAUCUACAGGUUUGUAAGUCCCGUGGCUUGCAUUAAGGUGUUGGAAACCCUAGUUGUGAUUCAUGAUAUUGGUGCACUACUUGUGUUGACUUCUCACUUGGCUUGAGAUGCUUGGUUGAUACAUAACCUUGAACUUUGACCUCGUCAACCCUAAUUCAAUUGGAGGAGGUUGUUAAUCAUUAUGUCAUGCAUCGUGUCAUCAUUGAACUUUCUUGGGAAAUUUGAAUCAUCCAUUUAACUUACAUGUCCAUAUGUUUAUGGAUUCCAUCUGGUUCAAGCUUUUGUUCAAAGCAUUCAUACAUAUGCAUUCCUAAUUCAUUGAUUCUAAGUCUAUGGUGCUUUCAAAUUCAUAGGUCUUUGGUCUCUGAAUUCAUGUUUGCAUUGGUGCGUUGAACUUUGGGCCAUUGAUGGUUCUUGAUCCAUUAUAAUUUAUAGGGGCAUUUGUUCUUGAUUCAUCCAUUAAUCUUGGUCCAUUUGGUUUAUGUGUUAUCAUGUGCUCAUGAUCAUUAUGAUUCAAUGGAUUAAGGUGAUUAUUUCAUUCAUAGAUCAUUUUGGUUUCGUUAAAAGUCAAGUCUUGUUUUACUUACAAGCAUGUUUAUUUCAUCAAAACAAUUGAGUUUUCAUUCAUUCAUAAAGAUAUAUAUUGUCCAUUACAAAAGAAAAUACAAAAAAUGCAAUUUUUACAAAGGUUGACUUUUUAGUCAACGUUUGACUUUUGGAUCAACCAGUUGACCAAAGUCAACUAACCUAUUUUUACUUUAUUUAAACCCUAAUGAUCAUUGUAUCUUCAUUGUUGCACCUUUCCAUGUGAUUCCAUGAUCAAUUUCUUCAUGAACAAGAAAGCCACCUUUUGCAUCAAGAUAUGGUCAUUUGUCAUGCCUUAAAGCAUUGCCUUGAAACCAUGACUAAGCCAACAACCCUGCAUUCACAACAUGCUAAUAAGUAAACAUUGCACAUUCAUGAUUCUAGUCUUAGCAAAACAUGAAGCAAAACCAAGGUAAGAGACAUCAUAAAGUCAGAAUUGAAGAUAGUAAUGCACAAUAUCAUACAUGCUGUAAAAACUAGUGCAGGAACAUUGGCCAAGUGUGAGCCUUGCCAUGAGCUUAUGCAUGCCAUGGAGUAGUCCAAAACACACUUGUAGAAUCACCACACAAAGCAGAACCAUGGUCUAAAUCAGAAUUUGCAAACCAGAAUGAGUGAACCUCCUGGACAUAACAUCAUACCCGCUAUCAUAACCUAGCAAAACAUACCAAAGUGAAGUUUGCACACAAGCUAAGCCACCAUGAACCCGAGCCUUCCAACCUGCACAACAAUACAAUCCAACUAACAUUGAUUAGCAUGACAUUCAAUCAACUUUUGUUUUAGUAAUUACAUUGACUCAAAAUUAAUCCAAAGCAGUCUAAGCUAAUAAUCAACAACAUUUGAGUUUUCUAUACAUUCAAUCAACUUUUGUUUUAGUAAUUACAUUGACUCAAAAUUAAUCCAAAGCAGUCUAAGCUAAUAAUCAACAACAUUUGAGUUUUCUAACAGAAAAAACACUUCCAAAUUAGUGUAAUAUGUCCUGCUUCAAGAAACUCAUUAACGGAAGGCAAACUGCACUAACAGAGCCCAGAAGCUGACAGUUUAAGCUGUUUUUUUCCUCUUAGCAAAAAUUCAAUCCUAACAGUUUGAACCCUAAUUUCUAAUAGUAUGUUAAGCUUAACUAAUCCCACAUUUUAAUGUCCAUUCAACAAAUCAUAACUACAUUAAUUGUUAAUGCAUUUGCAAACCAAUUGAUGGUUCAUGGAUUGAAGUAAUAACCCACAGUUCAUAACAGAAUAACUGAAUUCGAACCAAACUAACUCAGAGUUGCAAUUAACAUUUUUGCACCUUCCAACUAGCAUCCAUAACUAACUUCUGCAUUUGAGAUUCAUUUGAGGUGAAUUUCAAUUGAAUUUUUAAUCGAAUCACAACCUAUAUAUACCAUAAUCAUCAAUUCAUGAAAGGGGAUACACAGUCAUUGCUCAAUCUUUAUCUUCUUCACUAUCUCUCUCUAUCCACCCUCGCAAAAACUCUCUCCUUCCAUUGUUGCUCAGAGCCUCACCUUGAAGAUCUGAAAUAACAAGAGCUAGAACCUAACCUCUCUCACUCUCACAUAGGGGUGGCAAACGGGCAUGCCCGCCCCGUUUAGGCCCGCCCCGCAAAAGCUCGCAAAAAAACGGGGCGGGGCGGGGCGGUCAUAGUUGAGGAUGUGGGCCUAAAACUUAGACCCGCCCCACAAAAAAGUGAGGGCGGGGCGGGGAAAGCCCGCGGGCACUGCAUUCUUUAAGCCUAAAAAUACAAAAAUUUAUGUAAAUACACGUGCCCGCAAAAGCCCGCGAAAAAAAUGGGGCGGGGAGGGGCGGACACAUUUGAGGGUGAGGGUCUAAAUCCUUGGCCCGACCCGCCAAAAAUAUCGGGUAAAACGGGCAUGGCCCGCGGGUCGGGCCCGUUUUACCACCCCUACUCUCACACACAGUUUGAAUCAGGAAUUCAUCCUCAUCUUCUACAGACCACAGUCACCAAGAAUAAUAAGAAGAAAGCAAGAUCAAGAAUUCAAGGAUUUCAUACCUGAAGAAGCUCUGGUAUUCUUGUUCAACACCAUCGUCUUCAAUUUCAACAAGCUCCGGGACACUCAUUUGUUUUGUAGGUAGGCUUUACUCCUUGCUUCACCUUGAAUUUGUUGCAGUCAUUGUUUUGGGAGACAUCACCAAGCACUUUGUUAUUGUAUCAUACUUGUAUUUUAUCAUUUCACUAACCAAAACACCCAAAAUAUGUCUUUGUAUUUGCCUAACUCUUUUGUAGGAAAGACGUGAUCCCAUUGAUUCAUCAAGUUCACAUCUAGGGUUUGAGACACUCAUGAACAAAGAGCACAACCAUGGAUUGAUUCAAGAAUGUUUACAAUCAUCAUAUAUUAGUCCCAAUGUUUUCUACAUGUUAUAUUGAUCAAGUUUUCUUCAAGAGUUUGAGGGUGAUUUGCCUUGGAAACCCUAUGACUUAUAGUACCUUCUCGCAACAAGCUAUCUAAACCAAAUGAAAAAUCUCAAGUCACUUAAAGUUCCCGAUCAUCUUAUCAGAAGAUUACCAUGACCACAAGAAGCAAGCCGAAAAUGAAAGCAAGUUGGUUGAUGGUGGUUGGCCAGAUGAAUUCAUCUGAUCAAAACUGGGUCUCCCUAGACCCUAUCUCCUACAAUUUCACCAUAUGAAAAUUAUUCUAAGAGAAAACUUACUCUAAAUGACAUUCCAAACAACUUUCAUGUUGAGACCUAGAGCUAGUUUUUCUUGGAAAAUCAUUUUCUAUGUUGAAACAUUAUAGGUCAUUUUGUCUAAACCCUAAUUUGGAAGUCAACUUCCCAAGGACAUAACUUGCUCAAUUUUUAUCAUAUGAAAGAUUUCCAAGUUUCACAAUCAAAUUAAAUGUGUCUACUUCAACUUUUAUGUUUGGAGUGGGAGCUAAUUCAACUUUUUUAAGCAUGUGAUAUGAGGUUACAUUAUAGGUCACUUUUGACCUAUACCAUUGCUCAAGUGAUUUUUCCAAACUUCAAAAAUGCAUAACUCUAUCAUUUAAAAUCCAAAUGACAUGAAAUUUGUGACCAUUUUUAAGGUAUUUGAAAUAUAUACAACUUUGAUGAAGACACUUUUCUCAUUUGAAGCUCAUAUAAAAAGUUAAGCAAGGUGGAACAUUGAGACAUAUGGCUUGACACUUAGAAAAAUUUUGAUAUAUCAAAAAUUUCCAAACUUCCACCUCAAAUUUAUUCAUGAUACAAACUCCAAAUGGAAAAGUAUUGAACAUGAAAGUUAUUCCUCUCAACCUCACCUUUCCAAAUAGCUCAAAUUCAUUCAUUUUGGACAAGGAAUGCAUAGGCUGCGCAUGACAUGAACAUGGUGUCAUCACUUGGCAAGGAUCAAACUUCAAAUCUUAAUGUACACUUGCCUUGCAAUCCAAGUUGAAUUCAUACUAUCGGAGUGAGAUCAAGCACGAGCAAGAGCAAGAUCAGUUGAAUCCAGACCUCCAUUGAAGGUAUUUUUCAUAAAUUUCGAUCUCUUCGAUUCUCUCUAAUUCUUGCUCAAUUCUAUUGAUUCUUUGAUUGUCUGAAGUCCUACCAAUGUGGGCAGGAAGAUUGAGUUGCUUAGAGGCCAAAUUGAAGCAACUCAGUUUAUGUACCUCAAAUUUCAACUCCACGUAUCUCUCAGUAUACUUGGAGUUAGAGUGAAUUGAGGCUAGAUUCGAACUCAGUGUCAUUUUUACUUUGAAAUCAUGUCCUUGUUUUUAAUUUUGGUGAUGGUUAUGACUGAACCAGUCCGGCGAGGUUCGUCGGAGAAGACAAUCGGUCCUUGGCCGCCGGUGGUGUGCUGGAUGGUUCUGAGCCAUAUGAUCCUUUUAAAAUGAUUUAAUCAUGAGUGUUCCUUUUGAAUACCAACUGCGUGGAGCGUUGACUCAAGUGCACGGUGGAACGCGUGUUUUGAUCCAAUUGACCUGCCACCUCAAUUAAUGAGGGAGAUCAAGUGGUCCACGUUUUUUCUGAUAUUUCAAUUUUCAUUUUAAUUUCAUUAUUUUCAAUAAUUCAUAUUAAAUUUAAUAUUGAUCCAAAAAAUAUGGGACUUUCACCAAAAAAUUUCGAAUAUUUUCCUCUUUCAUAUUCUGAAUUAAAAUUAUUUUUUGGAUCAUUAUUAAUAUUUUUCAUGAAUUAAUUGAUUUUGCAUUUGUUUUUAAUUGUUUAAAAAUAUUUUUAAAUGUCCAAAUUUUUCUCCAAGGUCCUUUGACCUUGUUUGACCUAUGAAAAUCUCAUGGCCAUUUUCUUUGGUGUUUUAAUGAUAUUUUAGGAUUUGGACAAACCAUAUUUAAUUUAAAUGCACUAUUUAGUAUUUUUAAUUGAAUAAAUGCCAAAUAAAUUUGUUGACCAAUUGUCAUGACUUGUUAUGUUUGACUCUUGUUGUUGGGGCCUUGGUCAAGGUUGAUUUGACUUUGUCAACUUAAUAUAAUUGGAUUUAGGGGAUUGAUGGAAUGUACAUUCCAUCUCCCAAAAUGAAUGGAUGAUAUUGAUUUGGUAAAAGUCCUCCUUUGACCAAUUGUGUUUUGAUCCAUUUCCCUCCCACUUCAUCUUAUUCCCUUUCUUCAUUCAUUCAUUCCAUUUGGCCUAUGAUAUCUCAAAAUCCUAAGGCUAGUUGAUGAAAAAAUUGACACUGAGUAUGGAUGAGAUUAGGCCACCCCUUUUGCAUAUUCUUUUUGUGUGUGGUAUGUUUCAUGACCAUAGUCUACUAUACUAUUGUCUCUAACAUGCAUUAACACCAAAAUUUUAUUGCCCGACCUCAAAUAGUUGUGACUUCUACAUAAGUCCAAUUAUGAUUGCUUAACAUAGCGCUAAAUUUGUGACAUAAAAAGGCAUAGCAUUCUAGUUAGUGAGAUGUACGAGAUUGUAAGUCUCCACUCUUUCAUGGUAUUGUGUGGAAACUUGGCCUUUUUUCCUUCCUUUGGAAGAUGUCUUGGUUCAAGGAUCCAUGCUUGUGAUAAGUGGGUUGAGUGUUCUCCAAAGAAUGACUUCAAACUAAAAAAAAAACAAAAGCAAAGCAAUACUAACUUCUAACCUAUUAACUACUAACUUUUAAAUUCAAGUCCUUUACUUUAAUGCCAUUUAAUUUUUGCUUUUACUCAUUUGCCAUUGUUCAUAUCAUUCUAAUUGUUUAUGUUAAUACAAUUUUCACUUUGUCUACUUGGACCAUAUUGUGUGAUAUAUUUUGUUUGUGUAUACUUUGUCUACUUGGACCCACGUUCUCUAGAGUAACAUGGAAAUAACCACGCAUUUCCCACAAUCCUAAGAAAGGAUAAUGUUGACACAAAUUUCUUGGAGUCUGAGAUCCAGAUCCAAGAGGUUCCUAUAAAUACCUUUGUCAUAAGGUUGAGAAGAACAUUAAAUUCAUUCGAUGAUCAGUCAUAAAUAGAGCUUCUCAUCGUCCAUGUGUGAGCUUAUUCUAUCCCUACAAUAAUUGUAAAAUCUUCAAACAUCUCUACAUAACUAGGGGUUGUUACUCAUUGUAUUUUUUGCAAGUACAAAUAUAAAUCUUAAGGGCGUGUUUGAUUCUGAAGAGAGUAUGAGAAGAGAGACAGAGGUAAGAAAGAGUGUGAAAAGAGAGAUAAAUGUGAUAAAUAUAAUAGAUUUGAUGUAUUAUUUAGUAUUAGAUAGAAAUAAGAGAAAUAGAGAGAAAAAGUAUUAAUUAUUUGAGAAAAUCAAAAUAUACCCCCAAAUUUGAAAGGACUUAUACAUUUUUUUUUUAUAUUUAAUUUCAUUUAAUAAAUCCUAUUAUAAUUUUAAUCAAAGAAAGUACAUUGUUAAUAUAUAUUUAGUUAUUUAAUUAGCUAUAUUAAUUUAAUUUAAGAGGGUUUAAGUAGUUAAAUUUAAAUAUAUUACUUUUGUCUUUAAAGUUAUUGGAUGUAUAUAAGGUGUAUGACUAUAUUGUGGAAGUGAAUUGAAAGAGGAAUUAAAAUGGAAUUUAAAAAUAAUGAAUAUCAAUUGUUCCUUUUUCUUGCUGUUUAGGGAAGACUUGAAAAAUGUGUAGGUCCCAUAAAAACUAUCUCUAUCUUUUCUAUUUCUCUCUUCACAAUUUCUACUCAAACAAGUACACCCUGAAAGUUUACGUAAAGUAAAUUUGUUAUUUUGGAAUAAAUCUAAAAUUGUAGGAAAAUACAUCUCAUACCAUUUAUUAAUUCAUGUUACAUUUGAAAUAUGAAUAAUCUUUUGGUAUCAAUCAAAAGAUCCACAAAUGUUGUUGUAAAAUACACCACUUCUAAAAAUAAAAAAAAUAGUGACUAAAAUUUAGAGACAAGAGAAUGUGAAAUCCGUUUCUAAUUAAGUUGCGAAUUUAGAGACAAGAGAAUGUGUUAAGGCAUCAACAUUGGUGGCCAAUUUGAUCUUAUUUUUGAAUCUCUAAUGUUGCUAUGAAUCCUACAAAGGUCUUUUAGAUAUCCACCUAUUAAACAUGGCGAAACUCUCUUCAGGAAGGUAUUCAGGUGCCGUGUGUCCUCCACCCUGUCAAUGGAAUUGGAUAAACAUGGCAAAACAUUCUUUAGACCUAGGAAUCUGUAUUUGAGUUGUUGAAAUUGAAGAACAUGAA